ensembl:lincRNA Gm15704 predicted gene 15704
CCCUUUUCUGGUCUCUGCCCGAAGGGAGAGGAGCAGUGUAAUACCCCUCACCAGCUCGGGUUACAGCGGCCCGCCCGCCUGCAGACCUGGGUGUCCUGGGCUACAGAAUGAGACUGUCAAGAAAGAAAAAGAAGUCUAAGUCGUGCAUUCUCCAAGGCAUAGUUUGGAUUGUUUUUCUGAGUAGCUGUGAUUCAGCACCAGCACCCCCACCCCCCUUAGCAGCAGGCCGUGAUAGAGGCAACAGACAAGAGGGGGAAAAAAAAGCAAAUGAAUCAGAGAUAUGCCUCAGGCUUUAUUACGGCCUGAAGCAUGGAUGUGAAGCAUAGAAGCAUGCUGAAGCAUGGAAGCUGUGGCUACCCGACAGUCUUGUGGCAUCAUAGAGUCUCAAAGUCCUGCUAAAGAAGACAACAGAAGGAUGAAAAGAAGAGCCGAUUUAAGAACCCCAAACUAGUUAUCUCUGUGUGUAUGUGAGAGAGAACUAUCAGGUUUCUUAUUAUUAGCCAAGCUUCCAACAGCUAAUUACAAUGUGUUGGCAUUAGGGGCGUAAGAAGUACAGACAGUUUAAGGAAAGAUGGAUUGUUAUCUGGAAAGGGGAAGAUGGAAAGGGAUUCCCAGAGGACAUAACUGAAGAGCUGAGUGGUGUUCAACAGGCUGGGCAAGGGUGACUAUGUCUUAUGCUUUGUAAAUGCCUGAGGUGAAGCUGAGGAGUCUGGGAAGAUGGACAAUAGCCUAAAAAGUUCCUGGUUUUGAUUUAGACGGACAUUAAGCUUGGUAAAUUAUGGAAAAUUUUGAAAUCUGGAGAAAUGUUAAUAAUGCUCUGUAUGUUUUCAUGUAGCUUCAGCUGUGUUGCUAAGGAUGGUCCUUCAGACCCUACCUCCCAAGUGUGGGGCCCACAGGCAAGUGUAAUAUGCCUGGUUUGAUACGGUGCUGAGGCUCAAACCCAGGGUUUAAGGCAUGUUAGGUCAGCACUCUAGCUGGGGAGCCAGUUGUAAAUUUUUGUCUUCCUAUAUGUUCUUCCUGCUUUGAAAAGAAAAAUAAUAGUUUUUUUUCCUGUAUUAAUUUGAUUAGUUCAAAGGUUUAGUCAUUUUGUUCGGAGAGCAUAAAUGAGGACAUUUAGAGAUCCUUGGUCCUCAGCCAGAAGUCCUAUGACUUCUCCUUUAACAGUAAUUGUAACUAAGAAGGAAAAGAAAUCACAUCUGCUAUACUUGUCAGUGUGUUAACCGAGUAACUGUGGCAUCUUACCAGUCCUCAGGAAAGCCUCCCUCAUGGGCUGCAGCAAACUCUGACUGUUGUUGUGUACUUAACCAAUGUAAACUCUUUGGAGAAAAACCAAUAGCUCUCAUAUCUAGGACUUUAACAUUGAAAAGUAGUUUUUUUCUUAAAGGUUCAGUGCUGGGCAUGAUGGCAAAUGCCUUUGAUCUCGGCACUCAGGAGUCUGAGGGAGGCAGAUCUCUAAGAGUUCAAGGCCAGCCUGGUCUAGAUAGUGAGUUCUAGGCCAACCAGAGAUACCUAGUAAGACUCUGUCUCAAAAGAAUUUUCCUAAUUACUAAAUUACAAUAGUAGGAAGAAAGAUAAUAAUCAGUAUACAUUUUAUCAAUCAAUUAAGUACAACAUGGGGAAAAAAGCAUAAGCUACAAGUAGAAACUGUAACAGCUUAAAAGGAACCUGUUCAAAUAUAAUAAAAAAUGGGAUUUAAAAUAGUGGGCCCUUCCUUAGAUGGAAGUUACUUAAGAAGAUAAUCCGUGAAAAUUAAAAAGUCUUGAUUCUUUCGUCAUGAGCUGGAGAAUGAUUUGGGCAGUCGAGAUUAAGAUUGUGCCAGAGCUUAUUUCAGGAUCAGAAGACUGGGAAAGCGUAAAGCAGGGACCAGAUGUUUAUGAAGUUGCAUCCUCGUAAGCACAUAUUGUCAAAUCCGAGCUCUGCCGAGUCCUUUCAAGCCAGAUGCCACUCUCAGAUCUCCCUGCACCUCUGCAAUACUGUAACUGGAGUUUCGUAAUGAUGACCCUGGUAUGACUUCUGAGUCACAGCGGGAAGACUGAAUUAUGUUCUGCUCUGCCUUUGUGUAUUUAAUUAUAGUUUUAUUAGUCGCAAGCUAGGAAAUCCAUCUGUCUUAUAGCACUGCUAGACUGACCAGAGCCUUCUUGCCAGAAGCCCGGUCGUCUCCACCAACCACGUCUACAGCUCAUGGAGAGAAAACGCAAAAAGCCAGGACAGCCCAACAGAUUUUAAAAUCUGAGCGUUAUCCUGACAAGAGCCAUUAUCAGGACAUAAUCAUCCCACCAUAUUUUUAAGGAAUUGUCACCGGUGUGUUUGUUAGUAGCGUGUCAGGUAGCAGAUUGCUUUAAUAACUAUAACAUGUUAUGUGUUGUCAUGAGGAACAACAGGAGCAUUUUUGAAACUGCACUUUAAAUGCACAUGUUUCGUAAGCAGUCACACGGACAUAGACACAUGGGUAAAAAUGUUAAAACCCUUAAUAAACGUAGAGAUAGAAAAUAAGCGUAAAACAGUUGACUGGGAGAUGGGAUGGAGGGGCGUGGGGAAAGCAGAGCCUGGAGCGUCCGCUUUCCUGUCACAAGAAUCACUACUGUCUGGGUGCUCUCAAGUGAGAUGUCUUUACCAGUGAGAAUGACUAAAGUUUGCUAUUUCAGUACAUUCUGUGCUUGGCCUUUUCCAAAUGCUUGAACACCCUUAUGACAGUGCUUUGACCAUGCCUAUGGUGCUUUGACCAUGCACACAGUGCUUUGCUUUGACCACGCUGGGUGGUGGUGCAGCUGCUUUGGAGCCGUCCUGCUCCUGUAAGCAACCCCAAUACAAACUCAAUGGUUUGCC